AUUGAACGCUGGCGGCAGGCCUAACACAUGCAAGUCGAGCGGCUGAAGGGAACUUGCUCCUGGAUUCAGCGGCCGACGGGUGGGUAAUGCCUAGGAAUCUGCCUGUUAGUUGUGUAUAACGUCCUGACACGGGCGCUAAUACCCCAUACGUCCUGAGGGAGAACGUGGGGGAUCUUCGGACCUCCCGCUCUCAGAUGAUCCUAUGUCGGAUUGGCUAGUUGGUGGGGUAAAGGCCUACCAAGGCGACGAUCCGUAACUGGUAUGAGGGGAUGAUAAGUAACACUGGAACUGAGAAACGGUCCAGACUCCUACGGGAGGAAGCAGGGGGGAAUAUUGGAAAAUGGGGGAAGGCCUAAUCCAGCAAUGCGGGGUGGGGGAAGAAGGUUUCCGGAUUGUAAAGCAUUUUGAGGGGGGAGAAAGGGAAGUAGGUUAAUACCCGGUGGUUUUGACGUUACCAACAGAAUAAGCACCGCUUAACUUGGG
rnacentral:rRNA from 1 species